UACGAACUGUGCAAACGUUAUUCGGGAUUCACUGGGGCUUAAAAGGGGUGCGUAGGCGGCCAUGUAAGUAGGGGUGUGAAAUCCCCCCGGCUUAACCGGGGGAACUGCGCCCCUAAACUGUAUGGCUGGAGUGAGAUAGGGGGUGUGUGGGAACUUUCCGGUGGAGCGGGUGAAAUGUGUUUGAUAUCGGGAAGGGAACGCCGGUGGCGAAAAGCGACACACUGGGGUCUCAACUGACGCUGAGGCGCGAAAAGCUAGGGGGAGCAAACAGGG
rnacentral:rRNA from 1 species